rnacentral:tRNA from 1 species
GUCCUUAGAGCUCAGUGGUUAGAGCACUGGUCUAGUAAACUAGGUGUCAAGAGUUGGAAACCUCUCUGGAGACA